rnacentral:rRNA from 1 species
CGCAGUGUAGCAAUACAUGGGUGGCGACCGGCAAACGGGUGCGGAACACGUACGCAACCUUCCUUCAGGCGGGGAAUAGCCCAGAGAAAUUUGGAUUAAUACCCCAUGAUAUUUUGAGAUGGCAUCAUCUUAUUAUUAAAGCUACGGCACCUGGAGAUGGGCGUGCGGCUGAUUAGGUAGUUGGCGGGGUAAUGGCCCACCAAGCCUACGAUCAGUAGCUGAUGUGAGAGCAUGAUCAGCCACACGGGCACUGAGACACGGGCCCGACUCCUACGGGAGGCAGCAGUAAGGAAUAUUGGUCAAUGGACGCAAGUCUGAACCAGCCAUGCCGCGUGGAGGAUGAAGGUCCUCUGGAUUGUAAACUUCUUUUAUCUGGGACGAAAAAAGGGUUUUCUAACUCGUCUGACGGUACCAGAUGAAUAAGCACCGGCUAACUCCGUGCCAGCAGCCGCGGUAAUACGGAGGGUGCAAGCGUUAUCCGGAUUCACUGGGUUUAAAGGGUGCGUAGGCGGGCAUUUAAGUCAGUGGUGAAAUACCUGAGCUUAACUUGGGAACUGCCAUUGAUACUAUUUGUCUUGAAUGUCGUGGAGGUUAGCGGAAUAUGUCAUGUAGCGGUGAAAUGCUUAGAUAUGACAUAGAACACCUAUUGCGAAGGCAGCUAACUACGCGAAUAUUGACGCUGAGGCACGAAAGCGUGGGGAUCAAACAGGAUUAGAUACCCUGGUAGUCCACGCCCUAAACGAUGAUUACUCGACAUUAGCGAUACACUGUUAGUGUCUGAGCG